rnacentral:rRNA from 1 species
UACGAAGGGGGCUAGCGUUGCUCGGAAUCACUGGGCGUAAAGGGUGCGUAGGCGGGUCUUUAAGUCAGGGGUGAAAUCCUGGAGCUCAACUCCAGAACUGCCUUUGAUACUGAGGAUCUUGAGUUCGGGAGAGGUGAGUGGAACUGCGAGUGUAGAGGUGAAAUUCGUAGAUAUUCGCAAGAACACCAGUGGCGAAGGCGGCUCACUGGCCCGAUACUGACGCUGAGGCACGAAAGCGUGGGGAGCAACAGGGAUUAAGAAACC